AUGCACUUGUGGAGCUGGGUCUGGCAGGAGAAGUGGGGUGGAGAGCAGAGACUGCAGGCCUGUCCCCCACCCCCAGCUCUCAGUUACAGCUCGUUUGGCUUCAGCUGUGCUUUUAACCUCUCAGGAGGUAGAUGGAAGCCUGCAGUCGGCGUGCGCCUUCCUCUUCGCUGCCCGGACGGGGCCUGGAUCCUUUCUAACUGUGAGUACAGAAGGAGGACACCUCCCGUUUGGAUCCUGGAUUGUAGGCCAGGUCUACCUAGAAGCCAAUCACUCAAGGGACGGCUCAACGGUUCACUAAGGACAGCGUGGGAGGAAAACGUGGCCCAGCCUGAUAGAUAUCUCAGUCUUUUCACCCAGACCGACGCCAGCAAAGCUAAAAAUAAAUCAGCUUUCAGGUCUGGGCACAGAGGCCUGGAAGGCGCAAGCGUUCAUGAGCCAGCAGUAAUGAUGGAACCAGCCCUCUCGUGUGGAAGUCUCUCUGAGUGAACCAGAUGUCGUUGGCCCUAGGAGAUCCACGACCAAGAGUUGAGUUUUCACAGCGUUGAAAGGCCAGCAUUGGCCCUAACGCUAUUGGCCUCAGCAGAAGUCAGGAGCAAGAGUGAAGACCUAAUGAAGAGAGAGAGAGGCUGGAGAGUCUGGACAGAAACCUGCGAGCCUUAGAUUCUCAUGCUGUCUCAUCAAGCGCAGGGCCCAGCUUUUCAUCCAGUGAAG
rnacentral:lncRNA from 1 species